CGACGGUUGCUGUGUGGGAGGAGUCGCGACUGAGAAGCCGCAGUUUUCCAAGAUUUGUGCAAUGCCGAGAUGGGAAUAAUAUUGUGGAUGGAGAUACCAAACUCAUUAAAUGUGCCUAAGGUUAAGACUGUAGAGACCUCAUCAAGAAGCUGAGAAGAUGGCGGGGGGAACGAGAAGUGUGAAAACAAGAAAUCCUUGCAGGUGUGACUUGGCAAGGAACUGCUCGAUCCAGCUUCAUUCAUAAUUCUGAGUGAGAGAAUUGCUGACAGUUGAGUUUAAGUUUUAAGAGAUCGUUGCAUAAAAGUAAUCUCCGAAGGUAG